UGCGACAUUGUCCCACCUCAGAGC
rnacentral:piRNA from 1 species